rnacentral:rRNA from 1 species
AUGGUGAUGCUUCAGCUUUCUGCUGUAGUCCUCCUUGCGCUCAUCGCCCCCUCCCUCGCCGGUGACGCCGACAUGCUCCAGGACGUCUGCGUCGCCGACUUGGCAUCCCGUGAGUCAUCAUCUUUCUCAAGUUCGUUGUUGCAUCUUUUGUGCGGGUUGUUGCUGAUGUGGUGUUUCGUCAAAAUGAAUGGCGGCAGCGAUCAAGCUGAAUGGGUUCCCAUGCAAGGCGGACAUCACGGCAGACGACUUCUUCUUUGCCGGACUCAAG